rnacentral:rRNA from 1 species
UACGUAAGGGGCUAGCGUUGUCCGGAAUCAUUGGGCGUAAAGCGCGUGUAGGCGGUCCGGUAAGUCCGCUGUGAAAGUCGGGGGCUCAACCCUCGGAUGCCGGUGGAUACUGUCGGGCUUGAGUACGGAAGAGGCGAGUGGAAUUCCUGGUGUAGCGGUGAAAUGCGCAGAUAUCAGGAGGAACACCAAUUGCGAAGGCAGCUCGCUGGGACGUUACUGACGCUGAAAAGCGAAAGCCAGGGGAGCAAACGGG